rnacentral:rRNA from 1 species
UGGGGAAUAUUGGUCAAUGGGCGAAAGCCUGAACCAGCCAUGCCGCGUGAGUGAUGAAGGCCUUAGGGUUGUAAAGCUCUUUCGGCGGGGAAGAUAAUGACGGUACCCGCAGAAGAAGCCCCGGCUAACUUCGUGCCAGCAGCCGCGGUAAUACGAAGGGGGCUAGCGUUGUUCGGAAUCACUGGGCGUAAAGCGCGCGUAGGCGGGUCGUUAAGUCAGGGGUGAAAUCCUGAGGCUCAACCUCAGAACUGCCUUUGAUACUGGCGACCUUGAGUCCGGAAGAGGUAAGUGGAACUCCUAGUGCAGAGGUGAAAUUCGUAGAUAUUAGGAAGAACACCAGUGGCGAAGGCGGCUUACUGGUCCGGUACUGACGCUGAUGCGCGAAAGCGUGGGGAGCAAACAGG